UUAGUUCGUGGAGUGAUCUGUCUGCUUAAUUGCGUUUCACUAAGGGCCCAUAAAUUCAAGGUAUGUUAGCUAUCGUUUCUCAAUUGACCCCUUGUCUUCGAUAAGCGCGUGUCUUUUAGAGUUUAAACAUUGCGCAUGCUGUUGGGUCCUGAAAGCAACGAACGUGACCGCAACGUCUUAUUGCCUUUAUCUUGUUAUAUUCUAAUUUAAUUAGGAAUAACUAACAGAGGCUAAUUUAAAAUUAGACGGACCGCUGUACUUUUCUUAAACCAGAGGAAGGUUGCGGCAAUAACAGGUCUGUGAUGCCCUUAGAUGUUCCGGGCUGCACACGUGCUACAAUGAUCAGUACAGUGAGCAUCUCAAUAUUAUACACCGUAUUAAGCGCUUAGUUGCGAUUAUUGGCUCAUUAUUGGGUCUUUUAAUUGUAUUUCUAAUGCGCGCGGUAAAGCCUGCUUCGAGAGUAAGUGGGUAAUCCAUUGGAAGUAAUGAUUUCUCUUUUUAUAGCACACCUAUAUACGGCAUUCAUUCCCGGGACGACUAGUUUCGUCUUUUUUGUGCGAAUGUAAUGUAUUCUUUAUCCGUAUGUGCGAUUGUCAAUUCA
rnacentral:rRNA from 1 species